AGAGCUCAAAUUUGAAAUCUGGUGGCCUCAGGUCAUCCGAGUUGUAAUCUAUAGAAGUGUUUUCCGUGCUGGCUCAUGUACAAGUCCCUUGGAACAGGGCGUCAUAGAGGGUGAGAAUCCCGUCCUUGACAUGAACUACCAGUGCUCUGUGAUACAUUUUCAACGAGUCGAGUUGUUUGGGAAUGCAGCUCAAAAUGGGUGGUAAAUUCCAUCUAAAGCUAAAUAUUGGCGAGAGACCGAUAGCGAACAAGUACCGUGAGGGAAAGAUGAAAAGCACUUUGGAAAGAGAGUUAAACAGUAUGUGAAAUUGUUGAAAGGGAAACGAUUGAAGUCAGUCGUGCUCUUUGGAUUCAGCCGGUUCUGCCGGUGUACUUCCUUUGAGUGGGGUCAACAUCAGUUUUGAUCGCUGGAUAAAGGCUGGAGGAACGUAGUACCCUCGGGUAAACUUAUAGCCUCCUGUCACAUACAGUGGUUGGGACUGAGGAACGCAGCACGCCUUUAUGGCCGGGAUUCGUCCACGUACGUGCUUAGGAUGUUGACAUAAUGGCUUUAAACGACCCGUCUUGAAACACGGGACCA
rnacentral:rRNA from 1 species